rnacentral:rRNA from 1 species
UACGGAGGAUCCAAGCGUUAUCCGGAUUUAUUGGGUUUAAAGGGCGCGUAGGCUGUGCAGUACGGCUCGGGUGAAAUCCCUCGGCCCAACCGAGGAACCGCCCGGGCGACGGCUGUGCUGGACUGCAUCAGGGGCGGAUGGAACUCCCGGUGGAGCGGUGAAAUGCGUAGAUAUCGGGAGGAACGCCGGUGGCGAAGGCGGGUCUCUGGACAGUUCCUGACGCUGACAGCGCGAAAGCUAGGGGAGCGAACGGG